rnacentral:rRNA from 1 species
CCUACGGGUGGCAGCAGUGGGGAAUAUUGGACAAUGGGGGGAACCCUGAUCCAGCCAUGCCGCGUGUGUGAAGAAGGCCCUCGGGUUGUAAAGCACUUUCAGUGAGGAAGAACGCCUGGUGGUUAAUACCCAUCAGGAAAGACAUCACUCACAGAAGAAGCACCGGCUACACUCCGUGCCAGCAGCCGCGGUAAUACGGAGGGUGCGAGCGUUAAUCGGAAUUACUGGGCGUAAAGCGCGCGUAGGUGGCUUGAUAAGCCGGUUGUGAAAGCCCCGGGCUCAACCUGGGAACGGCAUCCGGAACUGUCAAGCUAGAGUGCAGGAGAGGAAGGUAGAAUUCCCGGUGUAGCGGUGAAAUGCGUAGAGAUCGGGAGGAAUACCAGUGGCGAAGGCGGCCUUCUGGACUGACACUGACACUGAGGUGCGAAAGCGUGGGUAGCAAACAGGAUUAGAUACCCGAGUAGUC